GAUCCUGGCUCAGGAUGAACGCUGGCGGCGCGCCUAACACAUGCAAGUCGAACGGACGAUGUAAAAGCUUGCUUUUCAAAGUUAGUGGUCGGACGGGUGAGUAACGCGUGGGUAACCUGCCUCAUACAGGGGAAUAGCAGCUGGGAAACGGCUGAUAAAACCGCAUAAGCGCACAGUGCCGCAUGGCACAGUGUGAAAAACUCCGGUGGUAAUGAGAUGGACCCGCGUCUGAUUAGCUGG
rnacentral:rRNA from 1 species